AGUAUAGGCUCGAUCAUUAAACAAAAAUAGGAUCAACAGGAAAGAAUUCUCAAAGUUAAUGAUUGUGAAUCAUUGUCAACCUAUCAAUCCUAUCUCCUUAGUAAGAUGAUCAAGUCACCUUUUGCUGGAAAAGAUGAACGAGCCAAUGAUGUUCUGAGUCUGAUACAUACUGAUGUAUAGAUCUACGAAUAUAUUUGCCAUAAAUUUAGAUUAUUUAAAAUGUUGAAACAAUUCUAUUAUAAAGUAGACAAACAAGCUAGAAAGAGCAUUGAAACUCUUCGGUC
rnacentral:lncRNA from 1 species